rnacentral:rRNA from 1 species
UGGGGAAUUUUGGACAAUGGGCGAAAGCCUGAUCCAGCAAUGCCGCGUGUGUGAAGAAGGCCUUCGGGUUGUAAAGCACUUUUGUCCGGAAAGAAAUCCUUGGCUCUAAUACAGUCGGGGGAUGACGGUACCGGAAGAAUAAGCACCGGCUAACUACGUGCCAGCAGCCGCGGUAAUACGUAGGGUGCAAGCGUUAAUCGGAAUUACUGGGCGUAAAGCGUGCGCAGGCGGUUUGCUAAGACCGAUGUGAAAUCCCCGGGCUCAACCUGGGAACUGCAUUGGUGACUGGCAGGCUAGAGUAUGGCAGAGGGGGGUAGAAUUCCACGUGUAGCAGUGAAAUGCGUAGAGAUGUGGAGGAAUACCGAUGGCGAAGGCAGCCCCCUGGGCCAAUACUGACGCUCAUGCACGAAAGCGUGGGGAGCAAACAGGAUUAGAUACCCUGGUAGUCCACGCCCUAAACGAUGUCAACUAGUUGUUGGGGAUUCAUUUCCUUAGUAACGUAGCUAACGCGUGAAGUUGACCGCCUGGGGAGUACGGUCGCAAGAUUAAAACUCAAAUGAAUU